UCUCUGCUGUUUCCUACAUUAUCAUGGACUUGUCAUUCUGAUGGCACUGACAUGUUCAUUGAUGCAGAUAUUUACUUUUGAGAGAUGAACUAAGGAUUUUGAG